rnacentral:lncRNA from 1 species
GUCCGCCGCUUAAUGACCGCUUUGACUGAUGAACCGAGGGAGAACUGAUUAAGCUGUGAUAAGAGUGCAUGCGUCUGCAGCUCAAACCAAAAGAGCGACCUUCGUUUCUGCUCGUCUUGUCUCUAGCGCAAUCUCGCAGCAAAAGCGAGAGCGAAAGUGGGUGGCCGAACAGUGAAUAUGCAUGUGUGGGUGGUCACCGUA